GCUCAGAACUCAAGGAAUUGACGGGGCCGCACAAGCGGAGGAGCAUGUGGUUAAUUCGAUGAUACGCGAGGAACCUUACCUGGGCUCGAACGUAAGAUGACUGUAGGUGAAAGCUUACAUCUCUUCGGAGCAUUUUACGAGGUGCUGCAUGGUUGUCGUCAGCUCGUGCCGUGAGGUGUCGGGUUAAGUCCCAUAACGAGCGCAACCCCUACCUUUAGUUGCCAUCAGGUUAAGCUGGGGACUCUAAAGGAACUGCCUACGCAAGUAGUGAGGAAGGCGGGGAUGACGUCAAAUCAGCACGGCCCUUACGUCCAGGGCUACACACGUGCUACAAUGGCCGAUACAGAGGGCAGCUACCUGGUGACAGGAUGCAAAUCUCCAAAGUCGGUCUCAGUUCGGAUCGGAGUCUGCAACCCGACUCCGUGAAGUUGGAUUCGCUAGUAAUCGCGCAUCAGCCAUGGCGCGGUGAAUACGUUCCCGGGCCUU
rnacentral:rRNA from 1 species